GGGAACUGCGUCGCGUCAGGCGCGGUAAGACGGAGGAGCGAAGCUGUAGCGGGAAUGAGUGGGUUUAAAGGGUCAGGAGGCGGCCGUAUAAGUCAGUGGUGAAAGCCCAUCGCUUAACGAUGGAACGGCCAUUGAUACUGUAGGGCUUGAAUUUUUGUGAAGUAACUAGAAUAUGUAGUGUAGCGGUGAAAUGCUUAGAUAUUACAUGGAAUACCAAUUGCGAAGGCAGGUUACUAACAAACAAUUGACGCUGAUGGACGAAAGCGUGGGGAGCGAACAGGAUUAGAUACCCUAGUAGUC
rnacentral:rRNA from 1 species